CCGAAUUGUCGACACGAGUUGUUGCUGGUCCUCAAAUGGGGGCAUGUGCACACUCUGUUUACACAUCCACUCACACCUGUGCACCCUCCGUAGUUCUGCAGCCUGGGGGCUCUGUCCCCCCUGCUGUGGUCCUAUGUAUUUACACACACACACACUGUAACAAAGUCUCAUGGAAUGUAUGCCGCGUUAACGCAAUACAAUA
rnacentral:misc_RNA from 1 species